ACUCCAUGGUGAGGACAAGACCUAGUAUAACCCUUCAAUCUUUCCCAAGCUUCAUAGAGAGCUUCGUUCGGACCUUCGUUCGAAGCUAGUUAUAUCAUUUCUAAUUCU
rfam:Arabis alpina cultivar Pajares Aa.chr7_contig_2100, whole genome shotgun sequence.